rnacentral:rRNA from 1 species
GGGGAAUAUUGCACAAUGGAGGAAACUCUGAUGCAGCGAUGCCGCGUGAGGGAAGAAGGUUUUAGGAUUGUAAACCUCUGUCUUCAGGGACGAAAAAAGGACGGUACCUGAGGAGGAAGCUCCGGCUAACUACGUGCCAGCACCCGCGGUAAUACGUAGGGAGCGAGCGUUGUCCGGAAUUACUGGGUGUAAAGGGAGCGUAGGCGGGAUCGCAAGUCAGAUGUGAAAACUAUGGGCUUAACCCAUAAACUGCAUUUGAAACUGUGGUUCUUGAGUGAAGUAGAGGUAAGCGGAAUUCCUAGUGUAGCGGUGAAAUGCGUAGAUAUUAGGAGGAACAUCAGUGGCGAAGGCGGCUUACUGGGCUUUAACUGACGCUGAGGCUCGAAAGCGUGGGGAGCAAACAGGAUUAGAUACCCUGGUAGUCCACGCCGUAAACGAUGAUUACUAGGUGUGGGGGGACUGACCCCUUCCGUGCCGCAGCAAACGCAAUAAGUAAUCCACCUGGGGAGUACGACCGCAAGGUUGAAACUCAAAGGAAUUGACGGGGGCCCGCACAAGCAGUGGAGUAUGUGGAUUAAUUCGAAGCAACGCGAAGAACCUUACCAGGUCUUGACAUCGUAUGCAUAGCUCAGAGAUGAGUGAAAUCUCUUCGGAGACAUAUAGACAGGUGGUGCAUGGUUGUCGUCAGCUCGUGUCGUGAGAUGUUGGGUUAAGUCCCGCAACGAGCGCAACCCUUACUGUUAGUUGCUACGCAAGAGCACUCUAGCAGGACUGCCGUUGACAAAACGGAGGAAGGUGGGGAUGACGUCAAAUCAUCAUGCCCCUUAUGACCUGGGCCUCACACGUACUACAAUGGCUGUAAACAGAGGGAAGCAAAGCCGCGAGGUAGAGCGAACCCCUAAAAGCAGUCUUAGUUCGGAUUGUAGGCUGCAACCCGCCUACAUGAAGUCGGAAUUGCUAGUAAUCGCAGAUCAGCAUGCUGCGGUGAAUACGUUCCCG